AGAAUCAACGCUGGCGGCGUGCCUAACACAUGCAAGUCGAACGAGAAAGGGUAGCAAUACCUGAGUAAAGUGGCGCACGGGUGAGUAACACGUGACUAACCUACCCUUGAGUGGGGGAUAACCUAGGGAAACCUGGGCUAAUACCGCAUAAUACCUACGGGUCAAAGGAGCAAUUCGCUUUAGGAGGGGGUCGCGGCAGAUUAGUUAGUUGGCGGGGUAAUGGCCCACCAAGACAGUGAUCUGUAU
rnacentral:rRNA from 1 species